GACGAACGCUGGCGGCGUGCUUAACACAUGCAAGUCGAACGGAAAGGCCCUGCUUUUUUGUGGUUCUCGAGUGGCGAACGUGUGAGUAACACGUGAGUAACCUUCCCUUGACUUGGUGAUAACUUCAGGAAACUGGGGCUAAUACCUGAUAGGAGCUCCUGCUGCAUGGUGGGGUUUGGAAAUUUUAGGCGGUUGGGGAUGGACUGGCGGCUUAUCAGCUUGUGGGGGGGGUAUCCGCUUACCAAGGGUUUGGAGGGUAGCCUGCAUGAGAGGGGGAACGGCCACAAUGGGACUACGGUACGGACCAGACUGGAACGGGAGGCAGUAGUGGGGAAUAUGGCACAAUGGGGGGAAGUCUGAUGAAGAAACGCUGCGUGCGGGAUGAAGGCCUUCGGGUUGUAAACCGCUUUAGCCUGUGACGAAGCGUUAGUGACGGUAAUAGGUAAAGAAGCACCGGCUAACUACGUG
rnacentral:rRNA from 1 species